GCAUAGCCGUAAACAUUGAUAAACUUAUCCGCCCGGGUACUACGGGCACUAGCCUAAAACCCAAAGGACUUGGCGGUUCUUUAGCCCCCCCUAGAGGAGCCUGUUCUGUAACCGAUUACCCCCGCUGAACCUCACCCCCCCUUGCCCGCCUAUAUACCGCCGUCGUCAGCUAACCCUGUGAAGGAUAAAUAGUAAGCAAAAUUGGCACAGCCCAAAACGUCAGGUCCAGGUGUAGCGUAUGGGGAGGGAAGAAAUGGGCUACAUUCGCUCGGGAACUGAAAGAAGGAGGAUUUAGCAGUAAGUGGAAAGCAGAGUGUUCUACUGAAGCCGGCUCUAAAGUGCGU
rnacentral:rRNA from 1 species